rnacentral:rRNA from 1 species
GACGAACGCUGGCGGCGUGCUUAACACAUGCAAGUCGAACGGAAAGGCCCCCUUGUUGGGUACUCGACGUUCGAACGGGUGGGGAACACCACAGUAACCUACCCUUCCUUUUUGGAUGACAUCACUACACUAGAGCGAAUACCAUAUAGGAGCUCCUGCUGCAUCGUGUGGUUUGGUAGUUUUCGGCGGUUGGGGAUGGACUCGUGGCUGAUUAGCCGGUUGGUGGGGUAGUUGCUCACGAAGGCGUUGACGGGUAGCCGGCCUGAGAGGGUGACCGGCCACAUGGGGACUGAGAUACGGACCAGACUCCUACGGGAGGCAGCAGUGGGGAAUAUUGCACAAUGGGCGGAAGCCUGAUGCAGCAACGCCGCGUGCGGGAUGACGGCCUUCGGGUUGUAAACCGCUUUCGCCUGUGACGAAGAGUGAGUGACGGUAAUGGGUAAAGAAGCACCGGCUAACUACGUG